AAAUGGCCGCGGUAUCUUAACCGUGCUAAGGUAGCAUAAUAGUUUGCUUCUUAAUUAGAAGCUAGAAUGAAUGUAUGAACGGGUAAGCACUGAUCCACCUCUCCCCCCUAAACUUAAGAGUAUGGUAAAAACGCCAUAAUGAUCUAGGAGGACGAUAAGACCCUAUAAAACUUUACUAUCUAUUCCCGUCUAUAUAAGAUAUCGAUAAGGGCAUAAAUAGUUAAGCUGGGGCGGCCACCACCCUUAAAACGUUAGUGAAUCCAACCACCAUGUGUGACCCCAAGAACUACCAAAGUUAGAAAAAGUUACUUUAGGGAUAACAGCGUAAUUGCCCUAGAAAGCUCCCAUCGAUAGGGCAGUUUACGACCUCGAUGUUGAAUUGAAGGCCCACCUUGGGGCAGCCCCUAAGCCAUGGA
rnacentral:rRNA from 1 species